rnacentral:rRNA from 1 species
GUUCAUCGCUCAGGAUGAACGCUAGCUACAGGCUUAACACAUGCAAGUCGAGGGGAAACGACAUCGAGAGCUUGCUUUUGAUGGGCGUCGACCGGCGCACGGGUGAGUAACGCGUAUCCAACCUGCCCAUCACUUGGGAAUAACCUUGCGAAAGUAAGACUAAUACCCAAUGAUAUCCCACGAAGGCAUCCGAAUGGGAUUAAAGAUUUAUCGGUGAUGGAUGGGGAUGCGU